ACUCCAGGCUCAGGGGACAGAGCCAGCCACAGAGGACUCCAGGCCCAGGUGCAUGGGGCAGAGCCAGCCACAGGAGGAUUCCAGGGACAGGGGGCAGAGCUAGUUACGGAAGUACUCCAGGCUCAGGGGACAGAGCCAGCCACAGAGGACUCCAGGAAGAGGGGACAGUAUGCACAAACACCCAGCAGCAGAAAGGAGGCAUGGUAAAGGCCCCUAGAGGGCUGAGGCAGAGUGACUGACACUCAGUUAUGUGUGGCAACUUAAUCAGUGUCUUUCUCUUCUGAUGGGUUAUGAGAUCAAGGGAGGCAAUAUCUGUUUCAUCAUCUACCUUUUCCCCUCUCUAUUGUACCUCCUGGCCCAGCACAUUGCCUGCACAUGCCACCCAGAAGUCUACAGUCCAGCUGACCUAAGCCAAAUAGCUUCCUGAAGACACAAGUCCUGAGGUCACUCCGACAGGCCCCACCAUGAGCUUGGGUGUCACCUCCUUCCAAGGCUUAUUCUGAUCCCCUGGAGCAUACAUUUUCAUGAAGAAAUGUGUAGUCUGCCAACUUCAUUGUCAUUUAUCCCUGGACAAUUUGUUAACUUCAAGAAUCCUUGAGUGCCAACCUGGAUGUCUUUAUAAUUGCUUUCUCUGUCAGAGCCUGUGUGAAAAAUGUCACCGGUAGAAUGAAGUCAGAAAGCGAAGUUGCAGCGUGUUCCUCACAAAGGUGACAACGACUGAAAGCAUUACUUGCUUUCAGGACAGUUUUGAGAACGUUUCCAGCUCCUGAAAGAAAAGACGUUUGUAAAAUUGGAAAAGCUAGCCUGCUGACAUUGACAGCGAAUUCAUAAUGCACAUGUUAAUCUACAGAGAGAAGCAGGCUCACGCGCCUCAGAGGAAAGCUCAGGCACCAGCUAGAAAAUGCUUUAAUCAAAGGCAGGAAAGUUGGAAGCCUUUACAAAUCAUAAAAACAUGUUGUUUUUUUAAUCUCUUGAAUAUACAAAUGUAAAUAAAAUGAGCAACAAAGAUCUCUU